AUUGAACGCUGGCGGCAGGCCUAACACAUGCAAGUCGAACGAGUGGCGGCCGGGUGAGUAAUGUAUGGGAAACUGCCUGAUGGAGGGGGAUAACUACUGGAAACGGUAGCUAAUACCGCAUACCAUCGGAUGGAACCAGAUUGGAUUAGCUAGUAGGUGGGGUAAAGGCUCACCUAGGGGACGAUCCCUAGCUGGUCUGAGAGGAUGACCAGCCACACUGGAACUGAGACACGGCCCAGACUCCUACGGGAGGCAGCAGUGGGGAUUAUGGCACAAUGGGCGCAAGCCUGAUGCAGCCAUGCCGAGUGUAUGAAGAAGGCCUUAGGGUUGUAAAGUACUUUCAGCGGGGAGGCGUUACCCGCAGAAGAAGCACCGGCUAACUCCGUGCCAGCAGCCGCGGUAAUAC
rnacentral:rRNA from 1 species